GUCGAGCGGACCGACGGGAGCUUGCUCCCUUAGGUCAGCGGCGGACGGGUGAGUAACACGUGGGUAACCUGCCUGUAAGACUGGGAUAACUCCGGGAAACCGGGGCUAAUACCGGAUGCUUGAUUGAACCGCAUGGUUCAAUCAUAAAAGGUGGCUUUUAGCUACCACUUGCAGAUGGACCCGCGGCGCAUUAGCUAGUUGGUGAGGUAACGGCUCACCAAGGCGACGAUGCGUAGCCGACCUGAGAGGGUGAUCGGCCACACUGGGACUGAGACACGGCCCAGACUCCUACGGGAGGCAGCAGUAGGGAAUCUUCCGCAAUGGACGAAAGUUCUGACGGAGCAACGCCGCGUGAGUGAUGAAGGUUUUCGGAUCGUAAAACUCUGUUGUUAGGGAAGAACAA
rnacentral:rRNA from 1 species